GACGAACGCUGGCGGCGUGCUUAACACAUGCAAGUCGAACGGAAAGGCCUCUUUCGGGGGGUACUCGAGUGGCGAACGGGUGAGUAACACGUGAGUAACCUGCCCUUGACUUUGGGAUAACUUCAGGAAACUGGGGCUAAUACCGGAUAGGAGCUCCUGCUGCAUGGUGGGGGUUGGAAAGUUUCGGCGGUUGGGGAUGGACUCGCGGCUUAUCAGCUUGUUGGUGGGGUAGUGGCUUACCAAGGCUUUGACGGGUAGCCGGCCUGAGAGGGUGACCGGCCACAUUGGGACUGAGAUACGGCCCAGACUCCUACGGGAGGCAGCAGUGGGGAAUAUUGCACAAUGGGUGGAAGCCUGAUGCAGCAACGCCGUGUGCGGGAUGGCGGCCUUCGGGUUGGAAACCGCUUUCGCUCAUGACGAAGCUUUGUGUGACGGUAGUGGGUAAAGAAGCACCGGCUAACUACGUG
rnacentral:rRNA from 1 species